rnacentral:rRNA from 1 species
CGCCUGGGGAGUACGGCCGCAAGGUUAAAACUCAAAUGAAUUGACGGGGGCCCGCACAAGCGGUGGAGCAUGUGGUUUAAUUCGACGCAACGCGAAGAACCUUACCUGGCCUUGACAUCCAGAGAGCUUUCCAGAGAUGGAUUGGUGCCUUCGGGAACUCUGAGACAGGUGCUGCAUGGCCGUCGUCAGCUCGUGUCGUGAGAUGUUGGGUUAAGUCCCGUAACGAGCGCAACCCCUAUCCCUGGUUGCUAGCAGGUAAUGCUGAGAACUCCAGGGAGACUGCCGGUGACAAACCGGAGGAAGGUGGGGAUGACGUCAGGUCAUCAUGGCCCUUACGGCCAGGGCAACACACGUGCUACAAUGGCGCGUACAGAGGGCUGCCAACUCGCGAGAGUGAGCCAAUCCCUUAAAACGCGUCGUAGUCCGGAUCGGAGUCUGCAACUCGACUCCGUGAAGUCGGAAUCGCUAGUAAUCGCGAAUCAGAAUGUCGCGGUGAAUACGUUCCCGGGCCUUGUACACACCGCCCGUCACACCAUGGGAGUGGAUUGCACCAGAAGUAGUUAGUCUAACCUUCGGGAGGACGAUUACCACGGUGUGGUUCAUGACUGGGGUGAAGUCGUAACAAGGUAACCGUA